rnacentral:rRNA from 2 species
AUUGCCCUAGUAACGGCGAGUGAAGCGGCAACAGCUCAAAUUUGAAAUCUGGCCUUCGGGUCCGAGUUGUAAUUUGCAGAGGAUGCUUUUGGCGCGGUGCCUUCCGAGUUCCCUGGAAUGGGACGCCUUAGAGGGUGAGAGCCCCGUACGGUUGGACACUAAGCCUCUGUAAAGCUCCUUCGACGAGUCGAGUAGUUUGGGAAUGCUGCUCUAAAUGGGAGGUAAAUUUCUUCUAAAGCUAAAUAUUGGCCAGAGACCGAUAGCGCACAAGUAGAGUGAUCGAAAGAUGAAAAGCACUUUGAAAAGAGGGUUAAAUAGCACGUGAAAUUGUUGAAAGGGAAGCGUUUGCGACCAGACCUUUUCCUGGCGGAUCAUCCGGUGUUCUCACCGGUGCACUUCGCCAGGUCGAGGCCAGCAUCGGUUUUCGUAGGGGGAUAAAAGCCUGAGGAACGUAGCUCCCUCGGGAGUGUUAUAGCCCCUCGCAUAAUACCUUUACGGGGACCGAGGACCGCGCCUUCGGGCAAGGAUGCUGGCAUAAUGGUUGUCAACGACCCGUCUUGAAACACGGACCAAGGAGUCGAACAUUUGUGCGAGUGUUUGGGUGUUAAACCCUCACGCGUAAUGAAAGUGAACGGAGGUGAGAGCCCCUUGCGGGGUGCAUCAUCGACCGAUCCUGAUGUCUUCGGAUGGAUUUGAGUAAGAGCAUAACUGUUCGGACCCGAAAGAUGGUGAACUAUGCGUGGAUAGGGUGAAGCCAGAGGAAACUCUGGUGGAGGCUCGCAGCGGUUCUGACGUGCAAAUCGAUCGUCAAAUCUGCGCAUGGGGGCGAAAGACUUAUCGAACCAUCUAGUAGCUGGUUACCGCCGAAGUUUCCCUCAGGAUAGCAGUGUUGUUCUUCAGUUUUAUGAGGUAAAGCGAAUGAUUAGGGACUCGGGGGCGCUUUUUAGCCUUCAUCCAUUCUCAAACUUUAAAUAUGUAAGAAGCCCUUGUUACUUAAUUGAACGUGGGCAUUCGAAUGUACCAACACUAGUGGGCCAUUUUUGGUAAGCAGAACUGGCGAUGCGGGAUGAACCGAACGCGGGGUUAAGGUGCCGGAGUGGACGCUCAUCAGACACCACAAAAGGUGUUAGCACAUUUAGACAAUAGGACGGUGGCCAUGGAAGUCGGAAUCCGCUAAGGACUGUGUAACAACUCACCUAUCGAAUGUGCUAGCCCUGAAAAUGGAUGGCGCUCAAGCGUCCCACCUAUACCUCGCCCUCAGGGUAGGACCGAUGCCCUGAGGAGUAGGCGGCCGUGGGGGUCAGUGACGAA